UCCCUGAUGGUCCAAUGGUUAAGACUCUGCACUUCCAAUGCAGGGGGCACGGGUUCAAUCCCUGGUCAGGGAA
rnacentral:tRNA from 1 species